UACGUAGGGUGCAAGCGUUGUCCGGAAUUAUUGGGCGUAAAGAGCUCGUAGGCGGUCUGUCGCGUCUGCUGUGAAAACCUAGGGCUUAACUCUGGGCGUGCAGUGGGUACGGGCAGGCUAGAGUGCGGUAGGGGAGACUGGAAUUCCUGGUGUAGCGGUGAAAUGCGCAGAUAUCAGGAGGAACACCGGUGGCGAAGGCGGGUCUCUGGGACGGUACUGACGCUGAGACGCGAAAGCGUGGGGAGCAAACAGG
rnacentral:rRNA from 1 species